CAUCGCCGCGGGAAUACGUAGGUGGCAAGCGUUGUCCGGAAUUAUUGGGCGUAAAGGGCUCGCAGGCGGCUUCUUAAGUCUGAUGUGAAAGCCCCCGGCUCAACCGGGGAGGGUCAUUGGAAACUGGGAAACUUGAGUGCAGAAGAGGAGAGUGGAAUUCCACGUGUAGCGGUGAAAUGCGUAGAGAUGUGGAGGAACACCAGUGGCGAAGGCGACUCUCUGGUCUGUAACUGACGCUGAGGAGCGAAAGCGUGGGGAGCGAACAGGAUUAGAUACCCCUGUAGUCCCUGUCUCUUAUACC
rnacentral:rRNA from 1 species